UUGCGGGGGCAGAUUCUCUCUCCUCCGUCGCCAUCGCUGUCCCCGUCAUGGCCGCAGGGGCAACUGCCCCCGUCUUCGCCACCGCCGUCGGAGUCGCAUGCUCCUACUCCACCUCGUCGUCGAGGUCAAUCAGCACCCCGGUCGGAGGGCCCCCCAGGGGCAAUGCUGAACAGGUAGAGGGCAGAACAAGGGUCGAACCCUGCCCCAUGCCCGGCCGCGGCACCACCCCUCCAGUUGCCGCCGUAGGAGCCACCUCCACGGCGGGGUCCGCGGUCUCCUCGGCGACACCUCCGCUCGUCGCCGGCGGGGUCGCGGUCCAUCCUGUGGAGGUGGAAGACACCUGC
rnacentral:lncRNA from 1 species